rnacentral:rRNA from 1 species
UACAGAGGUCCCGAGCGUUGUUCGGAUUCAUUGGGCGUAAAGGGUGCGUAGGCGGCUUCCUAAGUUUGAUGUGAAAUCCUGGGGCUCAACCCUGGAACUGCAUUGAAUACUGGGAGGCUAGAGUACUGGAGAGGAAACUGGAAUUUACGGUGUAGCAGUGAAAAUGCGUAGAGAUCGUAAAGGAAGACCGUGGCAAGCGAGUUUCUGGACAGUUACUACGUGAGGCACGAAGGCCAGGGGAGCAAACGGG